CCUACGGGAGGCAGCAGUGGGGGAUAUUGGACAAUGGGGGGAACCCUGAUCCAGCGACGCCGCGUGAGUGAAGAAGUAUUUCGGUAUGUAAAGCUCUGUCAGCAGGGAAGAAAGAAAUGACGGUACCUGACCAAGAAGCCCCGGCUAACUACGUGCCAGCAGCCGCGGUAAUACGGAGGGGGCAAGCGUUAUCCGGAAUUACUGGGUGUAAAGGGAGCGUAGACGGUUAAGUAAGUCUGGAGGGAAAGGCCGGGGCCCAACCCCGGGACUGCUCUGGAAACUAUUGAACUUGAGUGCAGGAGAGGUAAGCGGAAUUCCUAGUGUAGCGGUGAAAUGCGUAGAUAUUAGGAGGAACACCAGUGGCGAAGGCGGCUUACUGGACUGUAACUGACGUUGAGGCUCGAAAGCGUGGGGAGCAAACAGGAUUAGAUACCCCUGUAGUC
rnacentral:rRNA from 1 species